UCGGAGAGUUUGAUCCUGGCUCAGGACGAACGCUGGCGGCGUGCCUAAUACAUGCAAGUCGAGCGGACAGAAGGGAGCUUGCUCCCGGAUGUUAGCGGCGGACGGGUGAGUAACACGUGGGUAACCUGCCUGUAAGACUGGGAUAACUCCGGGAAACCGGAGCUAAUACCGGAUAGUUCCUUGAACCGCAUGGUUCAAGGAUGAAAGACGGUUUCGGCUGUCACUUACAGAUGGACCCGCGGCGCAUUAGCUAGUUGGUGGGGUAAUGGCUCACCAAGGCGACGAUGCGUAGCCGACC
rnacentral:rRNA from 1 species